AUUGAACGCUGGCGGCAUGCUUUACACAUGCAAGUCGAACGGCAGCACGGGGGCAGCCUUGGUGGCGAGUGGCGCACGGGUGAGUAAUACAUCGGAACGUGCCCGGCCGUGGGGGAUAACGUCGCGAAAGAUACGCUAAUACCGCAUACGAUCUGAGCCUGAAGGCGGGGGACCUUCGGGCCUUGCGCGCUCGGAGCGGCCGAUGCCCGACUAGGUAGGUGGUGGGGUAAAGGCCUACCUAGCCGAGCAUCUGUAGCUGGUCUGAGAGGACGGCCAGCCACACUGGGAGUGAGCCACGCCCCAGACGCCUACGGGAGGCAGCAGUGGGGAAUUUUGGACAAAGGGCGCAAACCUGCUCCAGCCAUUCCGCGUGCAGGACGGAGGCCUUCGGGUUGGAAACUGCUUUUGUACGGAGCGAAAAGGCUCUGGCUAAUACGUGGGGCUCAUGACGGUACCGUAAGAAUAAGCACCGGCUAACUACGUG
rnacentral:rRNA from 1 species